rnacentral:rRNA from 1 species
UACGUAGGGGGCAAGCGUUGUCCGGAUUUAUUGGGCGUAAAGAGCGUGUAGGCGGUUAGGUAGGUCCGUUGUGAAAACUCGAGGCUCAACCUCGAGACGCCGAUGGAAACCAUCUGACUAGAGUCCGGAAGAGGAGAGUGAAAUUCCUGGUGUAGCGGUGAAAUGCGCAGAUAUCAGGAAGAACACCGGUGGCGAAGGCGGCCUGCUGGGCAGUGGCUGACGCUGAGGCGCGAAAGCGUGGGGAGCAAACAGG